rnacentral:lncRNA from 1 species
UGUUCGGUAAACAGGAAGUUGUCAAGUUAUCAAUCUGAAAACGCAUGACACAGUAUAGCUGACUUAGAUAAACCCUGAAACCAAAUUUCAGAAAUCCUUGUAUUGUAGUUACUGAGAAAAAUGUGACGAAAAUUUUCAACUUGGCUAUCAUGUGUAAAAUCAUACAAGUGUUCGGUAAACAGGAAGUUGUCAAGUGAUCAAUCUGAAAACGCAUCACAUGGUAUAGCUGACUUAGAUAAACCCUGAAACCAAAUUUCAGAAAUCCUUGUAUUGUAGUUCCUGAGAAAAAUGCGACGAAAAAUAUUCAUGGGACAGACUGACGGACUGACAGAAG